rnacentral:rRNA from 1 species
UACAGAGGGUGCAAGCGUUAAUCGGAAUCACUGGGCCUAAAGCGUCCGUAGGCGGCCUUACAAGUCCUCCGUUAAAUCCAGCUGCUUAACAGAUGGGCUGCGGAGGAUACUAUAAGACUAGGAGGCAGGAGAGGCAAGCGGUACUCAGUGGGUAGGGGUAAAAUCCGUUGAUCCAUUGAAGACCACCAGUGGCGAAGGCGGCUUGCCAGAAUGCGCUCGACGGUGGGGGAUGAAAGCGGGGGGAGCAAACGGG